AGGGUUUGAUUCUGGCUCAGGAUGAACGCUGGCGGCGUGCCUAACACAUGCAAGUCGAGCGAAGCGAUUUCGAGGAAGUUUUCGGAUGGAAUUGGAAUUGACUGAGCGGCGGACGGGUGAGUAACGCGUGGGUAACCUGCCUCAUACAGGGGGAUAACAGUUAGAAAUGACUGCUAAUACCGCAUAAGCGCACAGGACCGCAUGGUCGAGUGUGAAAAACUCCGGUGGUAUGAGAUGGACCCGCGUCUGAUUAGCUGGUUGGUGGGGUAACGGCCUACCAAGGCGACGAUCAGUAGCCGACCUGAGAGGGUGACCGGCCACAUUGGGACUGAGACACGGCCCAA
rnacentral:rRNA from 1 species